rnacentral:rRNA from 1 species
UGGGUAACCUGCCUCAAAGAGGGGAAUAGCCUCCCGAAAGGGAGAUUAAUACCGCAUAAUAUGUUUAGGUCGCAUGACUUUAACAUCAAAGGAUUUUCUUUUAGAAAUUCCACUUUGAGAUGGACCCGCGGCGCAUUAGCUAGUUGGUGAGGUAACGGCUCACAAGGCAACGAUGCGUAGCCGACCUGAGAGGGUGAUCGGCCACAUUGGAACUGAGACACGGUCCAGACUCCGUAGG